UAUUAAAGUAAAUAUUCUGUUUUGGUCCAUGUACAAAAAUCCUAGGAUUUUCCACCUUAUCUCCUAUAAAAGAGGGCAAAUCUUAUCUAUUUUCUCCACAUAAAGAAAACCUACCAAAUACUAUCCAAUUGAAAAGUGAGCAGUCGUUGACUGAGGAGGACCAACCGUUGGCCACAUGAGUUCUUCUGACCACCACGCUGUGUCGCAACUGAGGAGGUCUUGUGGUGUUUCGAUCCUUUUUCGUCAUUUUCUCUAUUCUUGCUUUUUUUCUCUCGAUCCGUCCACGUGAUGAGGAUCUGGUUUGUGUGGAGCUGUUAAACACAUUUUCUACAUCUUCUCGCAUCUCGCAGAUCUAUGCUCAGAAGGGAUUAAGGCCUAUGUGGCUGCCGGUGAAACAUAACGGAAAGCAGUAUUACUGAGGUUUAUCGUCGGAGAAGACAUGGGUGGACCAUGUAAGGUGGAAUGUUUUAUCGUCGGAGCAGACAUGUCGUGUGCAUGUGGGUGGAGUUGAGAAUGUGGUGGCAUGGAUAGCAUGAAUGCCUUGAACUCACAGGAACUGAUUGUGGUGGUGAGCUCUCAUGCAACAACAUGAGGGGUGUGGGGACCACAUGAGGUGGUGUUGUCUCAUGUGUAACCGUCGAGGUUUAUCAUCAUUUCUUAUUGAUUUAUCUUGUUUUGUUGGAUGUUCUAGCCAGACCUUUUGCUAUGUUGUGUGAUGAUUGUUGGUGGUUGAUUUAAGGGAUUCUAGAGAUUCUCUCUCUAAGUUUUUGUUGUAAAAUUCAUAUAUUUUUUCUUUGCAAGUGAGUUCGAAGAAGUGCAUGAAUAGUCA